GACAGAGGGUGCGAACGUUGCUCGGAAUCACUGGGCGUAAAGCGCGUGUAGGCGGGCGAUCAAGUCAGGUGUGAAAUCCCUGGGCUCAACCCAGGAACUGCAUCUGAAACUGGUUGCCUUGAGUGUUGGAGAGGGAAGCGGAAUUCCUGGUGUAGAGGUGAAAUUCGUAGAUAUUCGGAAGAACACCAGUGGCGAAGGCGACUCACUGGCCCGUUACUGACGCUGAGGCGCGAAAGCGUGGGGAGCAAACAGG
rnacentral:rRNA from 1 species